rnacentral:lncRNA from 1 species
GCCAGGCAGCAGAGUAAUGAGCAGCUCCCCUCAGCCCGUUCAUUAUCCUCCACCUGCUCUGGUCCAUCCGGAGUGGAAUCCUUAUUGACUGCAGGAUUUCAGCUGAGGCUUGUCCUCAUUGUAAUUCAUAUCACAUUCCCUGCAGCUCCUAGGAACUCAAAUAAACAGAAGGACUGAUAUUAGUACUGAAAAUGCAAUUAAGGCACUCAUUGUAAAGUAAAAAUGAAUUACCUCACCCUCACCAUAUGGCCACAACUGAUUAACACCUAGAAGAAAUAGUCUAAAGCUUGUGAAGUCAGAAUUAUCAUCUUAGAUCAUUGUGACAGACUUUCUGCAGGAGGGAGGGGGAGAAGAAGUGGCUGGAAGUUUACUAGAUGUCCAAAAAAAAAAAAAAUCUCAUUCUGAUCAGGUGAAAGAGACUGUCAAUAUAAGCACUGUGAGCUAUAUUAUGGAGUUGUUGGGUUGGGUGAUUGUUUCCAUUGGUUUGUGAUUGUUUCCAUUGGUUUUAGUUGUAAUUAUGAGGAAAUAACAGAGAUUCUCCACCAACACAGGCAGUUUUCAACCAUUCUUGGGAAUGGACUUAGUCCAUCCAUCAAAACAUCUUUUUUCAUAAGUUAUUUGUUGAGCAGCUGUUCCUUGGCUGGAAGAUCAUUCCAUGUGACCUACUUUACCCUUAGGGGUAGUUAAACUGGUGGGAAUCUGCGCCUUUCUGAGCUGGACUAAACAGGUUAUCAUCACAAAGGUGUCUAGAAAGAUGCAGACCUAUUGAGAAGACAGGGUUGCUGCUGAAGCUGCCUUGCAGAGGCAGGUAAAGAGCUGUGGAAUACACAGUGCCGUUCCUGACAUUUGAUGAGCAUAUGUCCUCUUGUGUGGAGAAUCAUACAGAAUUGAAUUAGGGCCACCCAUCCCCUCAAAAUCCCCCAGAUGACUUUGUGUAGGGCUGUGGAAAGUUUAAUCAACUUAGUGCUACCCUCAGUUCCUCCCUUGUUUUCUCUGUAAAUGCUUCCAUGAGUGAUGGGGAUAUGGCUACUUGCUAAUGGGAGGCAUGGUAGCCACUUCAGAUGGGAAGACUGAACCUGCGGCCUUUGGUGUGCGUUGCUGGGUAACAAAGAAAUGGACAAACUUCAAAGUCCCACUACUUCAGCUGCUUCUCAGACAGACUGAGCCAUUAAGUUAGAGACAUCCUGACAUUUGGGUCAAGACUAGGUGAGAGUGAAAUAGAAUUCCCAGGGAGGAAGCUUAUUUCAAGGCAAGGAAGCCUGGAUUGUGCGGAGGAGCCAGCUGGCCACCCUGAGGGCAAACGGUAUGCUGGGUGUAAGGUCAACUGGAGUGUUUUGAAACUCAAGCUGGAUUCAGAGACCAUACACAGCUGUUGUCAGUAUGGGGACACAGACUCCCUCAUGGCAGAGUUGAGGGAGGGGCUGCUUAGAGGUUGACCCCUUAGGGAAAAAUGAUAUGCCUGCCUCUAGAACAGAAAAUUCUGCAUUUCUCUUCUUCUGUUCCUGAUUCUGAACUCAGAGAUCUUUCACCCCUCACUCCUGGACAAUUUCUAUGACGUUGUACUAAUUGUUGUGACACAUGGUCUCAUCUGGGGACAGUAUUUAGUAACCUUAAAUUUGGUUCAGCCACAAAGCUCUAUUAGAGGACCUUAUGAAAUCCAUAAACAAAGACAGAGAUCCCCAUACUCUGUCAUUUAAAAUGCCUGGCACUGUCACUUCUGUUUUGUGACAGAUGGCCCCAUUUUCAGUGUGACCCUUUCUGUAGCCCUCAGCAGUCCAUUGCCUCUGUUUGCAAAAUUUAAAUAUCUGAACAAUAAGGAAGGUUGCUAGUGGGGGUGCACUUUUAAUCCUGAGCUAAUCAGAUUUUAGUUGUCCUGGAACAGAAAGGGCAGUAAAUGGUUUUCUUUAUGGAGGAUGUUUGGGGUCUCCUGGGUUCUUUAGCUACAGAAUGCAUGGGACUAAGCUAUGGGUGGGGGCAGGGUGGAAACAUCACUUCUAGGAAGUGAUGCUUUCCCUGUGCACAGAAAAUAGAUGGAAGUGAGGGCAGAGACCAAGACUGUACUGAGAGGAUCAGAGACUCAGAAAAGUGCUUUCUCCCUACGAGAAAGGUCAGGACGAAGUUAUAUAUAUGAAGUCUUGUAUUUGAUAUGGUAGGCU